rnacentral:rRNA from 1 species
AGUGAACGCUGGCGGCAGGCCUAACACAUGCAAGUCGAACGGCAGCACAAGAGAGCUUGCUCUCUGGGUGGCGAGUGGCGGACGGGUGAGGAAUGCAUCGGAAUCUGCCCAUUUGUGGGGGAUAACCUCGGGAAACCGGGACUAAUACCGCAUACGACCUACGGGUGAAAGCAGGGGAUCUUCGGACCUUGCGCAGAUGGAUGAGCCGAUGCCGGAUUAGCUAGUUGGAGGGGUAAAGGCCCACCAAGGCGACGAUCCGUAGCUGGUCUGAGAGGAUGAUCAGCCACACUGGGACUGAGACACGGCCCAGACUCCUACGGGAGGCAGCAGUGGGGAAUAUUGGACAAUGGGCGCAAGCCUGAUCCAGCCAUGCCGCGUGUGUGAAGAAGGCCUUCGGGUUGUAAAGCACUUUUGAUGGGAAAGAAAAGCAGCCGGUUAAUACCCGGUUGUCAUGACGGUACCCAAAGAAUAAGCACCGGCUAACUUCGUG